UUUCCGUAGGUGAACCUGCGGAAGGAUCAUUAUUGUAUAACCGAGGUGCGAGGGCUGUCGCUGACCCGAAAGUUCGUGCACGCCCGAGUGCCCUCACACACAUCCAUCUCACCCCUAUGUGCACCACCGCGUGGGUCCCCCUUUGGCUUGUUCGGAGGGGGGCUUACGUGUUCACACAAACUUUGUAUGCAGUGUAGAAUGUAUUUUUUGUUUUUGCGAUCACGCAAUCAAUACAACUUUCAACAACGGAUCUCUUGGUUCUG
rnacentral:misc_RNA from 1 species